GCUUGUCUCAAAGAUUAAGCCAUGCAUGUCUUAGUGUAAAUAACUCUUAUGAAACUGCGAAUGGCUCAUUAAAUCAGUUAUCGUUUAUUUGAUGGUCCUUACUAUUUGGAUAACCGUAGUAAUUCUAGAGCUAAUACAUGCAUCAAUCCCCGACUUUUGGAAGGGGUGUAUUUAUUAGAUGGAAACCAAUGCGGGGCAACCCGGAAUAUGGUGAAUCAUAAUAACUUUCGGAUCGAUCGCAAGAUCGAUGCAUCAUUCAAGUUUCUGCCCUAUCAGCUUUGGAUGGUAGGGUAUUGGCCUACCAUGGCUUUAACGGGUAACGGAGAAUUAGGGUUCGAUUCCGGAGAGGGAGCCUGAGAAACGGCUACCACAUCCAAGGAAGGCAGCAGG
rnacentral:rRNA from 1 species